CUAAAUAAAGGGCAAAGCCAUUGAAAGAUGGUGACGCAAAGCUAAAGGGUCUUAAACGUUUCGGACGAAAGACAGCCAGUUGCUGGU
rnacentral:ncRNA from 1 species